rnacentral:tRNA from 1 species
GCCGGGAUAGCUCAGUGGUAGAGCAGAGCUUUUGUAAAGCUAAGGUCGGGGGUCCAAAUCCUCUUCCCGGCU